rnacentral:misc_RNA from 1 species
GACGUUUCAGAGAAAUUCUGAUCAUAACAUCUAAACAUUCAUAUCCCGUAACAUGUUAUCACCAAAUCAUAGGCCUAUUUGGUUGCUUUCCUUGCAUUGGGUCCAUUAUCAUGCAUUGAAGUGAACUUCUACCAUAACAACACAGUUAUUGCAUCAUCGGACUUUGAAGCCCUUGCUUGGAAAUACUGUUAUGGAGUUCACUGGCCCCUUUUUUUUACAGGAGCAAGCGAAAACAAUGCGAG